CAGGACGGAAGGUUGUUCACUCAUGGGCACACCCCACCUCCGCAAGGGAGAUUGUUCAUGCAUGUGUCCUGCCCACCUCAGCAUGGGAGGGUGUUUACACAUGCGCACAGCCCGCCCUUGGUGUGGGAGGAGGUUACCCAUGCGGAGCGCCACCCUUCAAUGAGGGAAUAGUGAUGCCCCUGUUAAAUGUGAUGUUUCAUGAAUGGUUCUUUUCACUUUCACAGCUGAAGUAGCAGAUAUAAGGGUUAGGGUUAGCAUUACCGUUAACGGUUAAGGUAAGAGUUUGGUCAUGCUUCCACACCCCCUCGUCACCAGAGUGUAUUCACACAAUAGCACCGCAGGAGAAUAUGCAUGCAUGUGCCCCGCCCUCUUCAGCCCGGGAGGGUGUCACACAUGUGCCCUGUCCCCUUCCGCUUGGAAGUGCGUUCACGCAUUCACACAUUUGCACAGCGCCCUCCCCCGCAUGGUGAGGGAGGGCGUUGGCACACGUGCCCUUGGCGUGGGAGGUGGUUCACACAUGCUCCCCACCCACUCGGCGAGGGAGGGUGUCACCCAUGAACAGCACCACCCCUGGGAGAGGGAGUAGUGUUGCCACUGUUAAAUGUGACAUUUCAUGAGUGAUUCUUUUCAUUUUCACAGCUGAAGAAGCAUGCAUCACUUAAGGCAAGGGUUAGGGUUAGCAUUCCAUUUAGGGUUUAGGGUAAAGGUUGGGUCAUGCUUGCUCCCCCUCUCUGCACGAGAGGUGUUUCACUCAUGCUCCCUGCCCGCUCCGCACGUAAGGGUGUUCACCGAUGCGCAUAGCCCUCCCUGGGGGUGGAAGGGUGUUCUCACGCAUAACCCUUCCCGGCGACGGAGGGCGUUUGCGGAUGAACCCUGCCCCACUAGCGCGGGAGUUUGUUCACGUGUGUGUAAGGUCCCCCCUCCUGGCGGUAGGGCGUUCACCCAUGUGCACCCCCCUUCCUCCCUCCCCCCUUUUGGCAUGGGAAGGUGUUGACCUAUGUGCCUUGACAGGUCAGCAUGGGAGAAUAUUAACGCAUGGACCCCGCCACCCUUGGGUGCAGGAGGGUGUUCGCGCAUGCGCCCAAUCCCCUUCUGCAUAAGAGGUGGUUCCCGAAUACGCUCCCCAACCUUCCGGAGUGGGUGGGUGUCCAUGCACGUGGACAAAUCCCCCUAGGUGAGGGAAGGCAUUCGCCAUGCGCACAGCCCCUCCUUGGUGUGGAAGGGUGUUCUCACUUACACAAAACCUCCCUCGCCAAGGCCUUUCAUGCCUAUGUCCCGCCCUCUUCAGCACAUGAGGUGGUUCACGCAUCUGUUCCGCCCCUCAUGGUGCAGGAGGGUGUUCAUGCACGCGCACAGCCCCAGGUCAGUGAGGGACGGUAUUCACGCAUGCACACAGCAGCCCCUCCAUGAGGGAGGGCGUUCACGUAUGUGCCAUGCAUCCCGCGGCAAGGGAGAUGGUUCAAGCGUGUGCCCCAUCCCCACUUUGGUAUGGCAGUGUGUUGACCUAUGCACUCCGCCCCCUCAUCGUUGGAGGGUGUUCAUAGAUGUGCACAGCCCCCCUCAUGGCCCAAGUGUGUUCAUGCUUGGGAACACCCCCGGCUAAGGGAGGGAUGGUGUUGGCGCAUGGGCCCUGCGCCAUACCGUGGGGGCCUGUUCAUACAUGUGCACAGCCCUUCCAACUGGAGGAAGUGUGUUCACGCAUGCACACAACUCCUGCUCCCCGAAGUAGGACGUUUCACGUGCACACAACCCCCCUUGGCGAGGGAGGUCAUUCAUGCAUGCUCCCUGCCCCCUACCGCAGGAGGCUGUACACGCAUGCCCAACGGCCCCCUCUACUGGCAGGUGUCAUGCAUGCGCACAGCCCCCUUCAAUGAUGAAGUCAUUUGCACAUGCGCCCCAAUCCCCUGGGAAUAGAAGGGUGUGCAGGCAUGCGCACAACCCCCACCUCAGUAAGGGAGGUUGGUUGCGCAUGCGCCCUGCCCCACUUAGCAAAGGAGGUGGUCCAGGCUUCCCUUUGGCCCCCUGUCAACAUGUGAGUGGGUCACCCAUGCACAGUGCCACCCCUCAGGGAGGAAGUAGUGAUGUCACUAUUAAAUGUGAUGUUUCAUGAAUGGUUCUUUUCACUUUCACAGCUGGGGUAUACGCAGGAAAUAGGAGAGGUUGAAAGCAAGGGAAAAACAUCAGAAAGCGUAUGGUCUCAUGAGGCUUGCGUCUUCCCUCUACCUCUGUAGUCCAAGUUCAUGGAUGGCACUGGAAAUACAUCCUUAGCAUGCGCAUCAUAACCUCCAGGUGAGGUUCAGGCUUGUUUUGGGGGAGAAAUCCUGUCACAAAUUCGGAGGAACAAGAGUCGCAUUCAGAUGGGAAGUCAAGACACCAAAUGUUGACUCUCAGGACCUUCUAGAAGAAUCAGCUGGGACCCACUCUCUGAGUCCUGCUGGAACCAGAGCCAGAGGUAAAAACACAAUGUGCCGUCCACAUCAUACAUGCUUUUAUUAAUUUUCAGUGGGUAUUUUCCUCCAAACAAUGUUGUAGUCACUGAAAACAUCUGAAAACCUGACAGGUACCUUGUGUCAGGCACCUCCCAUUAUUUGAAUGUUCAAUAUUGUUCCUGCGACAGAAUUUGUUACAGUUAUCCUUUCUUGUCUUCGUUGGAAGGAAUCUCAUCAAUAAUAUCUUAAAAACAUACUAGUUGCCUUAUCUCUUUUUCAGUUGAGAUUUAGCAUGUUUUCUAAUUUCUCAUGAACUCGUGAAAAACUGAAAUACUUUUAAAUUGGUUGCAGUUUUUACUAAAAGCUGAUUCACGGCAUCCCUCUGAGACUGCUGCUGGUCCAGACACUAACUAUAAAUAGCAAACGGAGGGUUACUAGAAGGGAGGUGGGAAGGGGGUGUGUUAAAUGAGUGAUGGGCUUGGUGAGGAACACUGGGUGUUGUAUGUAAGUGAUGGAUGACUACAUU